ACAGAUCCACCGUUAAUGAUAUUCGUUACACCUGUGUGUUUCCUGCUACGUCAAGUCUGAAAGGUCUGCUGAGAAAAAGGUCGCGGAUUUUUAUUUUUUAUUUUUAAAUGAUUUCUUUACCCUUUGAUAUGCAAUUGUGCGAUUUUUAGAAUAACUUGUUUCCAAAUGAGGAAGAAAAAGAGUUUGUGUCCAUUGGUAUUUCGGCGAACAACCGGAAACAAAACAAACUAGACCAGCAGCGGCUCCAUUGUUGGAAGUCAAUGAAGCUCGGCAACAGGUUUAGACAGGCAUCAGUAUUGGCCGAUAGAGCAAUAAUGCACACCGGGAGAGGCAGUGAAGCACAGCCUAGUUUACAGCAGCUCAGAGCACAUGAGUCUUCCAAGGUGAUUGGAUUCAGAGGACAGCCAGGUACAUUGAGUAUGUCUAUAAAAGCUGCAUUGAGGGCAAGGAAAUGACUGUACUCAUAAAAUCCUAAUGACCCCCACCCCUUCUCUCCUUCUCUUUGUGUCUCUUUUGUCCCUCUUGCAUCCCUACCUCCCUUUUUUUUUCUCUCUUUUUACCCUGUCUCCCUCUCCUAUGUACUCCUCAUACUGCAGCAA